rnacentral:rRNA from 1 species
AUUGAACGCUGGCGGCAUGCCUUACACAUGCAAGUCGAACGGCAGCACGGGUGCUUGCACCUGGUGGCGAGUGGCGAACGGGUGAGUAAUACAUCGGAACGUACCUUAUCGUGGGGGAUAACGCAGCGAAAGCUGUGCUAAUACCGCAUACGCCCUGAGGGGGAAAGCGGGGGAUCGCAAGACCUCGCGCGAUUAGAGCGGCCGAUGCCUGAUUAGCUUGUUGGUGGGGUAAAAGCCCACCAAAGCGACGAUCAGUAGCUGGUCUGAGAGGACGAUCAGCCACACUGGGACUGAGACACGGCCCAGACUCCUACGGGAGGCAGCAGUGGGGAAUUUUGGACAAUGGGGGCAACCCUGAUCCAGCAAUGCCGCGUGAGUGAAGGAGGCCUUCGGGUUGUAAAGCUCUUUUGUCAGGGAAGAAACACCGGCUCUAACACAGUCCGGGAAUGACGGUACCUGAAGAAUAAGCACCGGCUAACUACGUGCCAGCCGCCGCGGUAA